rnacentral:lncRNA from 1 species
GUUAAAAAAUUCUAUCCCAUAUAUUCUGACCCAUUUUUUUCACUAAAAUUAAUUAAAAAAGAAAACUUAAUAAAAAAAGGGAAAAUUAUUCUAAAGGUGAAGUACUAGAAAUAGUAUUCUGACCCAUUUUUUCACUAACUAUCGCCUCUCUAAAGCUACUUUGUAACCUCUUCUCACAGCAUUCUUUUCACUUUGGUUGAGGACAAAUCAUUUCCAGGUUCUUAAAGAAAAUCGUUCGAGAAUCGUGAGGUAAUGUAACUCUUCUUCUUUUUCAGGUUUCAAUUUGGUUGAUAUAUUGUAAAGUCUAUCUUCUUCUUUAGGGUUUAUAUUUGAUUUUGUAAAUUAAAGAAAAUCUUUUUCAAAAUUGUAACGUAAUGUAACUCUCUAGACUCAAUUACUCUAUAGUAUGUAAUUAUGCUCAAGGAACCUUCCAAGGGUUGUUUGAAUUAGAAAAUUAUUUCAAAAAUACAUUUGUUGCUCUUUGUUUGCAUUUGAUGCCCCUGCAAUAUGGUGAAAUCUUGUUUCACUUUCUUACAGUAUUUGUCUGAGCUUUAUGAAAUUAGUCACUUUACACGAUAGUGGGACAAUCUUUGUUACUCUUUUGCUUUAACAAAACUUAGGACCUCUUUUUUUUUUAAAAUAAAAAUAAAUGGGUGUUGGAGUUCUUUUUGCUGCUUUUGCUCUAGAAUACAUUAGAUAUAAAGGUACUUAGUACAUAGAGUAUAUGUCAUGUUCUGUAUUUCUUCUUGUUUUUUCUCAUUUGAAAUUAAAAUGUAAUUGCAGACAUUGGUUUAUUACUUGUAACGCAUGAAUACCAGAAAGUGUAAAAAACAAUAUUCUAGUGCAACUCUCACCAUACAUUUAUGUUUUGAUCAUAGGAGUGAAAUAUUAGUAUAGGCAGAGUAAAUUAGUAUUCAAUUUUUUAAAAAAGAAAUAAGAGUAGUAGUGAAAAAAAAAGCACUUGAAGCAGAAGCACGAAAAGAACACAGAUAGAGAUGGCAUAUUUGUCUUCUAAGUCCUAACUUUGAGUGUAGUAUUCUGUAUAUUCCAUGGGAUAUGGGGGAAAUGAGCAUUUUUUGUGAUUUUUAGUUUUAGUGAUUAUUAUAUUUUGAGCAUAGGAAACUGAACAAGUUUCUCAGUGAGCUUUAAGAAAGAUUAGAGUUGCGGUGGGGAGGAAAUGACUUAUACAACUCAUAGGAUCAGUUGCUUGCGUUACUUAGCUUAUUUUUUGCUUCGCAUCAGGUGGUAAAAACUGGUCUAAAAAAUUAUUUGAUAUUUCAUAUAGUUCGUAAGAGUAUUUAAUUUGAAAAUGUUUGGUGGUUAUAGCCUUACAUACUGAUUAUUUAUUUGUUAUUUGAUUACAUGCCUUGGUUUGUUAUGGGAUCUAUGUUGAAUGUACUAUAAUGCUUUUUCUGCUGUUUCUAAGUUCUCACCUACAUAUGUUUGUUUCUUAUGUGUAUACAAGUGAUAGUGUCUAGGAACUGAUGGAUCAUCACGCCUGAUAAGUAGGAAGGAAGUUGCAGGUCUCUUGUCCCUCCAAGCAAUAAUACUCAUUUUUUCCUUAACUAAUACUCUAAUAGAAUACAAUUGAUAGAGUUCAACUACAUCUUUGUAGGAAUAAUCUCUUUGUUUGAGUUGAGGUGAUAGAGUUCGAUUGCAUCUUCCUUAUCUAAUACUCUUUAUGUAUAUAUAUCGAUUUUGAACAUUCUAAAAAUAAUUAUAGAAGUUGACUUAGUGGUUAAGAGGAUUCAAAAUUCACCUCGAAGUUUCAAGUUAAAAUAUGAAGGGAGGAAGAUCAAAGGGAAAGAAGACUAAAUUUAAUUAGGUAUACAGAGCAGUUUGAAGAAAGCUUUAAGAUUAAUUAAAUUUCAGAGUACUCUUGGUCACAAAAAUUCAGCCAAAUGAUUUUCUCUUAGCAACCAUACCUAUCAUCCAAACCCAUCUCACGGCUAGUCUUCCUGGUUUGUUUCAUCAUAUUUACCUAGUUACCAUCCUUCAGAUGACGAUCAACAAAGAAUUCACUGCUUUAAGAAUUUAGCAACUAAAUACGCCUUUUUCUUUAAUUAGGAAACUUUGUAGAAAGAAAUGGGAUGAGGGGAGUAAAGAAAACACACAAACUACCAUUUGUGAAGAUACACAACGAAUUGGAACACAACCUUCCUUGUUUCAUCCAUCAUCAUCGUUGUCUAGUGCUUCUACUUUUCAAUCUUCGAAAGAAAUGGAAGUAAUGCGAAGACAAAUUUCAGAGCUUACAGAAUCACUUCAAUCAUCAUAAACUAACUUCGGUAAAGUGCAGAAAUUCAUGGAGAAACAUAGGUUGAAUCUGAUGAAAGUGAAGGGACCGACUCUGAUGAAAAAGUAGAUUAUUUUAUGGUUGUUUAGAUAUUUUCUAUGAGAUUUAGACAUGUUUUGAACUAUAUACUUCCUUUUUGCAUAACAACUUAGUAAUUAUUAGAUUUGAUUUUGGUGAAACUUGAGCUUUUAGACUCAAUUGAAUUGAAUUGAAUGCAAUUUGAAUGUUUGUUCAUUCUUGAAAGUGAAUGGGUCAAAAUAUGAAGGAAAAGUAUGAAUAAGAAUAUACUCAUGUAUGGUUGGAAAUAUGUCACAACUCACCUCUACGGGAGGUUUGAGAGAAAUAAAUAAAUUUUAUUUGACAAGAUUGACCAAUGGUCGUGUACGUUUAUACGUCAUAAAUAUUGUGGUAUGUUUAUUGUGAACUACCGAAAAGGCAAAAGAAAGAAAUAAUUAUUGCCUAUAAAGGUUGUGGCCAUUAUGUAGCAAUACAAAUUUGUCAUUGGUUGGGUACCUAUAAUACGAUAAAAGUAAAGCAAGAAACAUGUCUUGCUAGCAAUAAUUUUGACCAUGACAAUAAUAAUAUAGUUGCUUCUCUAAUGAGUUGUAUUAGUAGCAGAGGAACAAUAUUGGGGUUGUAGUAAGUCUCAAAAGAAAUUUUUAAGUUUCAGAUGAAUUGAAAAGAAAUAUUGAGACUAUAAAUUACAAAAAUAUUUAUUAUCUUCAGAUUACUACAAUCGAAGCGGGUUAUAAAUAUUUAUGUAAAAGAUUAUCCAUUUUCCUCUUGUUGUUGCACACAAAUGUGGGCAUGCUGAUUGAAUCACAUGCAAAAGUAAAUUAUAAGUGUACUGAAAUAAAAAUCAGUUGGCGUGAUCGGUUGACCAUUCUGGUUUAAAUGUGAUACAAAUGUAAUUGAGAAUUCAUGUGAAUUAUAUAAUGAAGAAAUAAAAGAUUCUUCAAGAAUUCUCUUUUCUUGCUUGUUCUCUUGAUAAGAUGAUCAUUAUACCAGCUAAGGUUGGGAUUGUAACCAUGUGUAUACUAUAUAAUAGAUGCAUCUAUGUGAUGAUCACAUGUGUUUUGGUGUCAACUUACAAAUUGGUGUUUGUAAGAUUGUUUGCUCGAAUUGUUAAAUUAAGAGCACAAUUUCAAACUAUGAAGUUAUACUGAUAAUGCUGGUUGGUUUAGCGAAAAUUGUAUGCCUCAAUUAUAGCUAAACCAUGGGUAUGAGAGCAAAUCUUCCAAAUGAGAUUUCGUAUGAGAUAAGUUUAUUUAACAUGGAGCAACACAUAUAUGCAUCAAGCCAACAAGAUUUUCCCGUCAUAAUUGGUUCAGAGUCAGAAACCAAACAAUCUUCAUCUAAAGUUUGAAUGUGCGAUUAUAAUUUUUAUUGCUCCACCACACACAGAUGAAUUCUCUAAUAAGGUUGAGAUGAAUGUUAGAUUUCCUAACAUUAGGGGGAGAGAUGAUUGACAAUUGAAAAUUAUGUGUGGUUAAUUAUGAAUUAUCUAGACUCUUCAUUAAAAGAAAAAGUGAACUUGAAAUUCAAGGGAUAAUUCAUUUGCAUAAUGUUGCAAAUCAAUUGUCAGAUGAAUGUACUGACUCUAUAAUAUAAUUCAGUUGCAAAUGCUCCAAUGUAAAGUCCUUGAAGGACAGAGUCUAUGCUACGCCUGAAGCGUAAUAGAUCAAUCGAUUCUAAAUGUAAAAUUCCUUGAAGAAGGAAAGGAACAAAGGAUCAAUAAUGAGACGAGUGCUAUAAGAGAGCACCACGACAUAACACUUCAUAAAAACCUUAGAAAAGGUUCAGAUACCUAAAAUGAUGAAAAAUGAAGAGAUCUCAAUAAGUUAUGUCAUAUUGGAAUCGAUAUCAAAUAACCAUCAAUGGUAUCUUCGAUAUUAGGUAGCACUCAAUGCUAUAAAUUGUGUAGAGGAUCUUAAAUUUAAAUUUGUCAUAUAGUGCAGAUAGAUAAAUGGUUGGCCAAAUAAAAUGCAUAAUUCAAGUAUAUUUUGUUUCACUUAGAAAAGUGAUGUUUUGGAUUGAUAGUCCAUAAAUCAAGGUAUAAUGUUAGUGUGAUACAAAUAAAUAAUUAUGUGAUAGUAUAACCAUAAGAUAUAAAGUAUGAUUUAUGCCUUUGGACAUAAAUGUUUUUUGCAAAAGUGCUGACAUUAUUGGAGAUGUUUGAUGCAAUGAGGUUUGUUCUGAUCUGACAACAUAUCUAAAACUUGAAUGCAUAUAAUAAAUAAUUGUCAUGUCUAUCUAGACGAUGAAGGUUAUAUGAAAAUUGUUGAGCAAUCGAGGUGUCUGAAGCAUAUAAGAUUUUGAAAGAAUUUUUUUCAAUAAAACUUCAAGAAUCCUUACAUGGAUUGAAAUAAUCAAGGAAUAAAAGGGUACAAAAGGAAUGAACCUAAUUGUCCUUGCAUUUUUAUGAAAAGGUCAAGAUCUGAAUUUGUUAUAAUAAUUGUGCAUGUUGACGACUUGAAUAAUUAGCACUCUUACAGAGCUUUCAAAAGUUGUCAAGUGUUUCAAAAGGUGAAAAGGUUUUGGUAAGACAGAAUUUUGUCUUCAUGACCUACAAAUGAUAAUUUGAUAAAUGAAAUAUUGGUCCAUAAGUCAAUAUACACAAAAAAGUUUUGAUGCAAUUUUAUAUGGAUAAAUCACAUUCAUUGAGUAACCCAAUGAUUAUGAUGUCACUUGAUAUAAAUGAUGAUUCAGAUGAUUUCUAAAGAAGGAUGAAGAGCUUCUUGGUGAUGAAACUUCAUAUCUUAGUGCAAUCAGGACACUAGUGCAUCUUGCUAACAAUACUCGACUAGACAUUUGUUUUGCAGUAAAUUUACUGGAAAGAUUCAGUUACUCCCCAACAAUAGGACAUUGAAAUGGUGGUGAACACAUACUUGAAUAUCCUCGAAGGACCAUAGUUAUGGGUUUAUUCUAUUCCGAGGAAUCCAAGGCGGAAUUGAUUAGUUAGGUAGAUGCAAAAUAUUUAUGUGAUCUGCAUAAAGCUCGAUCUCAAGCGCACUAUUUGUUUGCAUGUGGAGGCACAAUAAUAUCUUGAACAUCAAUGAAGCAAAUGUAGGUGAUCACUUCUUCAAACCAUGCAGAAACAAAAGUCUUCCAUGAAGCAAGUCGAGAAUGCGUCUGGUUAAGAUCAAUGACACACCACAUUCAGGAAAUAUGUGGUUUUUCUUUGAAAAAGAAUUUACCAACCACAAUGUAUGAAGAUAAUCAACUGCAAAUGAAAAGUGCCCACAAGAUGAUUAUUAUUGGAAAAAAUUUAAUGUGCAAUUUACUUGCAACAACGAGGUCAUGACGGAUAGAAUGAUAUUCAAUAAUGUAUUCGGCUAAGAUCAAAGUCUCGUCAUAUUCAUUAAAUCAGAAAAUGAUAUAUCAGAAUAAGUUCAACAAUGCAAAAUCUUCGUAAAUGUGAUUUGAUCUUUAAGACACUGUCAAUAUCAAUAUUUGAGAAACUGGUGUAUAAGAUUAGAGACAUCAUCAAGAAAUUAAGUGAUGUUUUAAUUUGGGGGAGUAUAAUACGUGUUGCACUCCUUUUCCCUUGACCGGGGUUUUGUUCCACUCGUUUUCCUAGCAAGAUUUUUAAGGAGGCAAUAAAUAGUGUAUAUCAAAAGAUAUGUGUACUCUUUUUUCUUCACUAGAAUUUUUUUCCACAGGAUUUUUCCUAGUAAAGUUUUAACGAGACACAUUAUCUAUGGACAUCUAAGGGAGAGUGUUAUAAAACCAUUGAAUUGUGUGGAUUGUCCUUUAGAUAUACUCAAAACUUAAUUGUAUUCAUGUGUACAUGUUUCUGAUGUGUUAAGAACCAUUUGGAUAACUAUGUAUCUACUAAUUUGUGAAUUGUGACUUUUGAGAGUGACAUCUCAACACUAGAAAUAGAGAUAUCACUCAUCAUUUGAAAGAUACACUUGAAUAAGAAGAAAUUACUUCUCUUAUGUUCUUCUCUUAUAAUUGUAUUCUUAUGAGUUUGAUUUUUGUAACGACCUGUUUAGUCGUUUCGAGCAGUAGAAUUACUUUUGAUAAAAACUGUCUGUGUCGACGGAUCAAACGACGGACCGUUAUGGUCAUGACGGAUCGUCGAGGAUCUCUGUUCCAAAACACUUCGACUCUGAAAAUCUGGGUACUGAGAUCGACUCUCUGAACUUCACGACGGAAUUGCAGGACGGACCGUCGUAGACACGACGGACCGUCACAAACCCCUUUACAGAAAUUAACUCUCUGAACUCUGUGACGACCCUGCAGGACGGACCGUCGCAGGUACGACUGGCCGUCACGAGUGGCGUAACCUCGACUGGGUCGGACUUCUGCUGAAAGUUUUUAAGGGGCGUUUUGGACUAUUCAUGAUUAUAAUUAUAAAGUUAGUGGGUUAAUGUUAAUAAUUUAUUUAAUUGGGGAUUAAAGAAGAUAAUAUGGAAAUAAGUAAUGGGGUAUUUUUAUCAUAAUGAAUUAUAUGGUAAUUAGGGAAAAACAAAGAGAAUCUGAAAGAAGAGAAAAUUAAAAAGAAAAGAAGAGAGAACGAGCGAGAGAGAGAAUAACGAAGAGACAGCAAGGGCAUUGGAGAAGUAGAUUGCUUGAUCACGAUUCUUCGGUGGAGGUAGGUUAUGGUUUAUGCUAUUUCAUAGUAAACUCUAAAUAGCGAAUGAUAUGUAUUGGGUAGUAUUGUAAAGUCUUCUAUAUGCUUAAUUGUGUGGUUGCAUGAUGUGAUUAUGUAAUUGUAAUGGAUUAGAAAGAUGAGGCUGUGAAUCUUAAACCUUACAAUCCCUCUAUUAAUGAUGAUGCCUUGACAUAAAGGAAGGUUUGAUGAACUAAGUAAUGAGAUUAGGGGAUCGGGUGUCACGAACCGACACGUAGAAUUAGGGGAUCGAGUGUCACGAACCGACACGUAGUAUUAGGGGAUCGGGUGUCACGAACCGACACGUAGUAUUAGGGGAUCGGAGUGUCACGUUCCGACACGUAGAAGUAGGGGAUCGGAGUGUCACGUUCCGACACAAGAAGAAUAAAGAGAAUGAAUCUGAAUUACGUAAUAUGCUCAAAUUUAAAGAACCUAUUUCCCAAAUAAGUAUGGUGUGGAGGCUUGAGUCCUCAUAGAUGUGCUUGGGUUGUGACCAAUGGUUAUGGUACUUAUUGUUGUCACCUGUUGAGUAUGGUAGUCGAUUUUAUAUUAUUAUUUGAUAUAUAUUGCUUUCUAUUUUGAGUUGGCCGAUGAUAUCUACUCAGUACGUGUUCCUUGUACUGACCCCUACUUGUAUUUUUCUCUUUGUUAUAUGUGGAGUGCAGCAAACGUGCCAUCGACUUCGACUCGCCCUCAACUCUAGCCAGUCUUCAUCACGUCAGAUUUCAGGGUUAGCUAUUGUUCCUAGCUCGGACUAGAUUGUCUCCUUCGUGUCUUGAUGUCCUUGAAGUUCGGACAUGGACCAUUCAUUUACUUAUUUUAGUUUCUUAAAUACUCUUAGAUUUAGUAAUUUGAGGAUAGAUGUUCCUGUGGUAAUGACUUCUAGAUUUUGGGAAUAAUAAGUAUUAAAUUUUAGAAUUUAUUUAUUGGUUAUAUUAAUGAGUUUUAAGUUUUCCGCAUUGUAUUUUGUUCAUUAUGGUUGAAAAUAUUGGUAAAUGAUUGGGGUCUAGAUUGGUUUGUUCGCUCACAUAGGAGGAUAAAUGUGGGUGUCACUCGCGGCUCGUUUUGGGUCGUGACAAUUUUAUAACAAUUUUUAAUUAUUUCAUUAAAUUUAUUGAG